ACACUGUUCAUGGGUUACCGCGGCUGCUGGCACGGAGUUAGCCGGUGCUUCUUCUGCGAGUAACGUCACAGCUAGCAGGUAUUAACUACUAACCUUUCCUCCUCGCUGAAAGUGCUUUACAACCCGAAGGCCUUCUUCACACACGCGGCAUGGCUGCAUCAGGGUUUCCCCCAUUGUGCAAUAUUCCCCACUGCUGCCUCCCGUAGGAGUCUGGGCCGUGUCUCAGUCCCAGUGUGGGCUGAUCAUCCUCUCAGACCAGCUAGGGAUCGUUGCCUAGGUGAGCCAUUACCUCACCUACUAGCUAAUCCCACCUGGGCUUAUCCAUCAGCGCAAGGACCGAA
rnacentral:rRNA from 1 species